rnacentral:rRNA from 1 species
AAUGAACGCUGGCGGCAUGCCUAACACAUGCAAGUCGAACGAAGGCUUCGGCCUUAGUGGCGCACGGGUGCGUAACGCGUGGGAAUCUGCCCUUGGGUUCGGAAUAACAGUUAGAAAUGACUGCUAAUACCGGAUGAUGUCGUAAGACCAAAGAUUUAUCGCCCAAGGAUGAGCCCGCGUAGGAUUAGCUAGUUGGUGAGGUAAAAGCUCACCAAGGCGACGAUCCUUAGCUGGUCUGAGAGGAUGAUCAGCCACACUGGGACUGAGACACGGCCCAGACUCCUACGGGAGGCAGCAGUGGGGAAUAUUGGACAAUGGGCGAAAGCUUGAUCCAGCAAUGCCGCGUGAGUGAUGAAGGCCUUAGGGUUGUAAAGCUCUUUUACCCGGGAUGAUAAUGACAGUACCGGGAGAAUAAGCUCCGGCUAACUUCGUGCCAGCAGCCGCCGUAAGAC